UCGGAUAUGGUGAAGUGGCCAACAUCGCUGACUCUCAAGUUCGACCCUGAGUCCUCAGCAGCCCGGGGUUCGAUCCCCCGUUUCCGAG